AGGGCCACAGUGCAACAGGGCUCUAGAGAAGGAACGCCCCAGCUUCCUGCUCCAGGAGUGACAUCACCCCUGUCAUUCUUGUGCCCCGCCCCUUGCCUGAGACAACAUGCGUGCAUUACUGGAGCUGCAGGAGACAGUACUCACCCACAGCCCCCCUGUACAACCUGAACUUAUUACCCAUCUUCUCAUUAUGCCUUCCUCCCACCUCAGCUCACCAGAGCCCAAGGAGUAUCUUCUGGGACUGGUGUCUCAUAGAAAACAUUCUGGGGGACACAUGGAUUGGCGAUCUAGUCAGGAGGCAGAACUGACAAGAAUUCAAAGUGCAGUGACUUCUGGAUAAGAGACUUGCACAUCCAGCUCAGAUGUCUUGCCCCUUGGUGUUCUCUUCACUACACAGCCGUGGAGCCGUGGACCCCACAAACAAAUACAGAUUUGCCCCCAGAAUGCUGCAAUAAUGGCAAUCUACAGUCACUCAGCUACGACAAGGAAAAUACAUAGAAAGUCGAUAUAUUUUUCGAAACUCAAUAUUUUCAAAAUGAAAAAUAUUACCAAAACAUUUUUGCUGUAGUAAGCAGAAUAAAGAAAAGCAAAAAGCAGCAGUAAA